GCUCCUACGGGGGGCAGCAGUGGGGAAUAUUGCACAAUGGGCGAAAGCCUGAUGCAGCAACGCCGCGUGAAGGAAGAAGGGUUUCGGCUCGUAAACUUCUAUCAACAGGGACGAAAGAAAUGACGGUACCUGAAUAAGAAGCCCCGGCUAAAUACGUGCCAGCAGCCGCGGUAACACGUAGGGGACAAGCGCUAUCCGGAAUUACUGGGUGUAAAGGGGGAGUAGGCGGCAUGGUAAGCCAGAUGUGAAAGCCUUGGGCUUAACCCGAGGAUUGCAUUUGGAACUAUCCAGCUAGAGUACAGGGG
rnacentral:rRNA from 1 species